GGUUCCGCCUCCUAAGACUUCCUAUACCUCGAGACACAUCCAGAGGGCUGAGGCAUUUAAAGGGGAGAGCAGUUAACAUCGGUGGCUCUGAAGAACCUGUAGGUUCUCUGCAGGUUGCCCUGCUUCUCUAGCCCUCAACAGCAAUUUCCAAAUGGUAUCAUAGUACGGUUGAAGUGCUUUGGAAUGGAAUCGCUUCAGAUUUGUAGCUCUUAAGAGCUUUCUUUUCUGAGUUUGUCCUCGUUCCGAUCUUCUACACUCAUCCGCCUCCAUACGCCAUUACAUUUUGUAUCUCAUGUUCUCUGUACGUUGUGAAAUUAAUUCUGAAUCUGGAUUGGGUGUUA